GAUGAAGAACGUAGCGAAAUGCGAUAAGUAAUGUGAAUUGCAGAAUUCAGUGAAUCAUCGAAUCUUUGAACGCACAUUGCGCCCGCUGGUAUUCCGGCGGGCAUGCCUGUUCGAGCGUCAUUUCAACCCUCAAGCUCUCCGGAGUUUGGUGUUGGGGCGCCUGGGGCUUUUCGACCUCAGGGCCCUCAAGUCCAUCGGCGGGACCGCCAGGACACUGAGCGCAGUAGUAUUAUUUCGCUCGGUAGGAUCCUCCACGGCGGGUCGAUCUGGCCGCUAAACCCCCCAAUUCUCACCAAAGGUUGACCUCGGAUCAGGUAGGAAUACCCGCUGAACUUAAGCAUAUCAAUAAGCGGAGGA
rnacentral:misc_RNA from 1 species